GACGAACGCUGGCGGCGUGCUUAACACAUGCAAGUCGAGCGGUAAGGCCCUUUCGGGGGUACACGAGCGGCGAACGGGUGAGUAACACGUGGGUGACCUGCCCUCAGCUCUGGGAUAAGCCUGGGAAACCGGGUCUAAUACUGGAUAUGACUCCAUGACGCAUGUUGUGGGGUGGAAAGCCUUGUGCGGCUGAGGAUGGGCCCGCGGCCUAUCAGCUUGUUGGUGGGGUGAGGCCUACCAAGGCGACGACGGGUAGCCGGCCUGAGAGGGCGACCGGCCACACUGGGACUGAGACACGGCCCAGACUCCUACGGGAGGCAGCAGUGGGGAAUCUUGGACAAUGGGCGCAAGCCUGAUCCAGCCAUGCCGCGUGGGUGAAGAAGGCCU
rnacentral:rRNA from 1 species